rnacentral:rRNA from 1 species
CCUGCCCUUCAGAGGGGGACAACAGUUGGAAACGACUGCUAAUACCGCAUACGAUCUAAUCUCGGCAUCGAGGAUGGAUGAAAGGUGGCCUCUAUUUAUAAGCUAUCACUGAAGGAGGGGAUUGCGUCUGAUUAGCUAGUUGGAGGGGUAACGGCCCACCAAGGCGAUGAUCAGUAGCCGGUCUGAGAGGAUGACCGGCCACAUUGGGACUGAGACACGGCCCAA